rnacentral:rRNA from 1 species
AAUCAACGCUGGCGGCGUGCCUCAGACAUGCAAGUCGAACGCGAAAGUUUCCUUCGGGGAACAAGUAGAGUGGCGCACGGGUGAGUAACACGUAGGUAAUCUACCUUUGGAUGGGGAAUAACAAUCGGAAACGGUUGCUAAUACCGCAUAAUGCAGCGGCACCUAAUGGUGACAGUUGUUAAAGCGGGGAUCGAAAGACCUCGCGUCUGAAGAGGAGCCUGCGGCGGAUUAGCAGUUGGUAAGGUAAUGGCUUACCAAGGCUACGAUCCGUAACCGGCCUGAGAGGGCGGUCGGUCACACUGACACUGACAUACGGGUCAGACUCC